AAAGUGACAAAAUAGCAAUAUUUUCAAGAAACAACUUUUUAAAUUCUAAUUUAAUAGAAGUCAAGUUAUGGUCUGAGAGAUAACUUAAAAAUGGUAAGUUAUUUAGGAACAAGAUAAAAGGCAAAACACCAAACUUCAUACAAACUUAAAUGUUUGACAUUUAAAAAUUAAAGAGAUUUUUUUUAACGUGUAUUUGAGACAAAUAAGCCAACCUUGGUACAUAACCGCUGAAAACUAAAAAACCGUACCCUAAACCAACACAGGUGGAUAGGUCGAGUAGACUAAGGUGUAUGAGAUAAUUAUGUUGAAGGAACUCGGCAAAAUGACUCUGUAACUUCGGGAGAAAGAGUACCUUUUUAUUUAAGUGUUUAUCGACGAAAUAAUAAGAAG
rnacentral:rRNA from 1 species